CCUACGGGUAGCAGCAGUGAGGAAUAUUGGUCAAUGGACGAGAGUCUGAACCAGCCAAGUAGCGUGAAGGAUGACUGCCCUAUGGGUUGUAAACUUCUUUUAUAUGGGAAUAAAAUGUUCCACGUGUGGGAUUUUGUAUGUACCAUAUGAAUAAGGAUCGGCUAACUCCGUGCCAGCAGCCGCGGUAAUACGGAGGAUCCGAGCGUUAUCCGGAUUUAUUGGGUUUAAAGGGAGCGUAGGUGGAUUGUUAAGUCAGUUGUGAAAGUUUGCGGCUCAACCGUAAAAUUGCAGUUGAAACUGGCAGUCUUGAGUACAGUAGAGGUGGGCGGAAGUCGUGGUGUAGCGGUGAAAUGCUUAGAUAUCACGAAGAACUCCGAUUGCGAAGGCAGUUCACUGGACUGCAACUGACACUGAGGCUCGAAAGUGUGGGUAUCAAACAGGAUUAGAUACCCCUGUAGUC
rnacentral:rRNA from 1 species